GACGAACGCUGGCGGCGUGCCUAAUACAUGCAAGUCGAGCGGACCGAACAGGAGCUUGCUCUUGUUCGGUUAGCGGCGGACGGGUGAGUAACACGUGGGUAACCUGCCCGUAAGACCGGGAUAACUCCGGGAAACCGGAGCUAAUACCGGAUAACACCGAAGACCGCAUGGUCUUUGGUUGAAAGGCGGCUUCGGCUGCCACUUACGGAUGGGCCCGCGGCGCAUUAGCUAGUUGGGGAGGGAACGGCUCACCAAGGCGGCGAUGCGUAGCCGGCCUGAGAGGGUGGCCGGCCACACUUGGACUGAGACACGGCCCAGACUCCUACGGGAAGCAGCAGGAGGGAAACUUCCGCAAAGGGCGAAAGGCUGACGGAGCGACGCCGCGGUAGGGGAGAAGGGCUUCGGGUCGGAAAGGUCUGUUGUUAGGGAAGAAGAAGCGUCGUGCGAACAGGGCGGCGCGGUGACGGUACCUAACGAGAAAGCCCCGGCUAACUACGUG
rnacentral:rRNA from 1 species